rnacentral:rRNA from 1 species
UACGAAGGGGGCUAGCGUUGUUCGGAAUCACUGGGCGUAAAGGGCGCGUAGGCGGCCGAUCAAGUCGGGGGUGAAAGCCUGUGGCUCAACCACAGAAUUGCCUUCGAUACUGUUUGGCUUGAGACCGGAAGAGGUAAGUGGAGCUGCGAGUGUAGAGGUGAAAUUCGUAGAUAUUCGCAAGAACACCAGUGGCGAAGGCGGCUUACUGGUCCGGUUCUGACGCUGAGGCGCGAAAGCGUGGGGAGCAAACAGG